rnacentral:lncRNA from 1 species
UUCAUAGAAAAUUAAUUUUGUUUACAUACUGGUUCCCAGUUAUGCUCUCUGUGUUCCAUCUCACAGAGAUAUAACUUGGGAAUGUUAUCGGUAAAUAAACAUGUGCAUAUUUUUUACAUUGAAAUCUGUGGUAACCUUUCAUUCGAGGAAGGGGUAGAUAAGAAAAUUAGUGUUAGUUUAAACUCGGAGAAGUUCAGGGCAUAUAAACGUUGAAAAUAUGCCGCACAGCCCUAUAUUUUGACCUUUGAAAAAAAUUGUAGUGCAUAUGAACUUUCAAAUGUCGGAUAAGAUUUUUUUCAAAACUUCGUAGUAAAAGUGGUACAGUUUUAACCGUAAAAGG